CAGUUGCUAGUUGCACUCCUCU
rnacentral:miRNA from 1 species